rnacentral:piRNA from 1 species
UGACUAAAUUGCCUGUGAUAGUUUGAAUGC